AGGGUCUCCAAAUUUCUGGUGAUGCUUAUCCUGGACAGGGACUCCAAGCUUGUGGCUACUCUAUUAAUGGAACAACCAGUUGCAAUUUUGAGUGGGUUCGCCAUUUGGAAGAUGGAUCUUUUAACUAUAUAGAGGGGGCAAAGCAACCAACUUACCUUGUGACUGCUGACGAUGUUGAUACUUACCUUGCUAUUGAAGUUCAGCCAUUGGACAACCGAAAACGGAAGGGUGAACUCGUGAAGGUCUUUGCAAAUGAGCAUAGGAAGAUAACUUGUGAUCCUGUAAUGCAUAGUUGCAUUGAGAAAACCCUUUAUAGUGGUCAUGCUUCAUAU
rnacentral:misc_RNA from 1 species